GUAUGAGUAUGGUGUAGUGGUUUGAGUGUUGGUCUACAACACUGGAGACCUGGGUUUGAUUCCCAGCUCAGCCA